UCGUCCCACCCACUUCCUCGAUUCCCGGAUAUAAUUAAUGAAUAGAUUUACAUUUACCUAUCAAUUAUUUUACUCCCACCGCAAAUGAAUAGGAAGCAAAUUCAUAAGUUUUUUUUUACUUUUCUUUCGUGGUGAGUAGAACUAGGGCUUCAUCCAAUUAGGUCGAGUAGUGAAGAUGAAGAUCUUCGUAGUGAACAGGAGGCGUGAACAAAAAAAACUUGAAGGACAUAUCCGAGGACGAAGAGAGUUCAGAUGAUAAUUUUGUUGCCGUGCAUCCAAGAGUUCAAAUUGCGAGCCUAAUGGAUGUACAGUGCAAGCGAAGAGGAUUGAAUGAUGAGUAAGUGUGCAAUGAUGUAACAACCCGCUCUUUUAUCAGUAUUUAAUUCCAGUAUUGCGUGUUUAUUUAUCUAUCUGCUAGUAAAUGAAGCACCUUAUGAUUUCAACUAUGUUUCUGAAUUACGUAUUUUGGAGACAGAGUCACUACACUAGCAGUAUGCAUUUUUAUUUAUCUUCGCGUGUUUAAGACCGCGACGAGAAUCUUUGAGUCGAUGAAUUAUUAUUACUCAGUUAUAACCAACUUAGCGAAGUUGUGUUAUUUAUUAAUAAAGAUGGAGUUUAUUUCAUGUUGUUACUUAAGUCGUGAAUUAUUUCCGACUUUGAAGCUAAUUAAAUCUACGGAUUUAAUUUAAGUAUUAGAAUGACGAACGAAUUAAAUCUACGGAUUUAAUUUAGCAUUUAUCGAUUUUAGCAAACACGAAACCAGUAUUUCUAAUACAGAGAAACCAACACUGAAGGGUUUUAUUUUAGAUCUUUUAUUUAGAUCACAUCACACGCCCACCCUACACCUCUCUACGUCUGCCACAUCCUAGAUUUAAGGAAAAGAAGGAAAAAAGGGUGAGAAAGGUGUGCUGCAGCAGCAGCUCUUCCCCAUGCAACAAGCCAUGCCCAAGUACACCUAACAUGUCAGUUCAGCCACACUACAACCAUGCUCCUCCUUUUAGCACUCAAGUGCACAUCAACCGAGCUCCAAGUAUAAAUUCACUCUUCAAUCCUUGAGCCACCCCUUUCUCCUUUCAACACUUAGAAUUUUCAGCAGCAACAACAAGAAGUUUCAUCUCUCUCGACGCCUCGCACGAAGGGGAGUAGAGCGAGAUUCUUGCUGCGACUUGAACAAGUUUGCACCUCGAUGCUAAAAAAAGCGAGAGAGAAACCAUCGUUCUUUACCCAACCAAAGCACGCGAUAUAUCAAGGUAACCUUCGACCUCUGUUGCUACUCCAAUCGGCAUGAAUCACACUCGCAGAAAUCAUGUUUUAUGGGCUGUAAACGAAUGAACAAAAAGCAUGUUAAGUCACGUUUUUGUGGAACCUACAACUUGAAACCUCGAUGAACGACGAGAACUUUAGCUUUAAACGUAGACGAACGUGAAUAAUCAUAGCAUGCUCACAUAGAGAUUAAGGUCUGUAUACGAGUGAAAAUCGAGGCGAGAUAAGGACAGAGAAUUCUAGUUUUGGAAACUGGAGUCCCCGUCGUUCUUCCCAGAGCAGAGGAAUGGCCAGAGGAAUGACCAGAGCAGAGCGGAGAAAAUGCCAGACCAGAGAAAUGGUCUCGCCAAAGGAAUCACUUCGCCAGAGGAAUCACUUCGCCAGAGGAAUCACUUUCACCAGAGGAAUCGUUCCUCGCCAGAGGAAUCACUUCGCCACAGAGCUAACUCAGCCAGAGCUGACUUAGAGGCCAGAGCUGACCUCCAGAGCAGAAAGCGAGGAAGCAGAGCAGACCGAGAGAGAGAGAGAGAGAGAGGGAGAGAAAGAGAAGAGAACAUAAGGUGUUUAAAUCUUUAUUAUUUUCUUUCCCUUGCUUACACGAAGGGAGAUUAUUAUAUUUUUACUGGCAGUUUAGAACACCCUAAUGAGAACGAAUCAAUGUAGUUAAUUACUUGACUUCAUGGGACGGAACCUAGUUGGGUUAAUUGUUUAAUAAAAAGGAAUAUGAGCCAUGCAUAAUUACAUUACGCAUCCUCAUUUAUUUGAGAAUUUCCUCGGACUAAGACCUUACGUUAUUCUUUUCCGAAUCAAGGUUGAAUGCAAGAGUUUAAGGCUUAGUCGUGAGUCUCCACUACCAGGUGGGCUUUCUUACAUAUAAACUAAAACCAUAUAGUAGAAUUGUUAAGACUUUAUCCUUAUGAAUUUGAAUGAUGUUGUCAAUGCCUAAAAUACUUUAUGUUUUGUUAUUAAUUGCCUAUCUGAUGUUAAUCGAAUUCGGAUUCCGGAUGGGACCGCAAAUCCCUUCGGAAUUAGUGUACACCCUUGUGAUCGUGAGUCAUCUAGCGGGUUGGCCGAUCAUAGUGACCGUAGAGGGAGGCCUCCCUCUCGGCACGAGUUACUGAUAUGGUGAUUAAUGAUAUUAAAAUGCCUGCGCGGGUUAUUGAUGAAAGAAAUGAUGUUAUUUUAGGUAAAUACGAGUCUUUAAAGGAAAACCCUCGUAUCUUACUACUGUUAAGGGCUUGACAAUAAAAUAUUAUGCAUGUAUGUAAAUUUCGGCAAGUGUCCACUAAGUACUCCCGUACUUAGCCCUGCAUGUAUUUUUAAAUGUGCAGGUUGAGCUGUGAUCGGGGAUGUAGUAUGCAAGCGGAGCUUUUGUCAAUCUAGGACGAGAACCUCAGAGUGGAGUAUAUGUCUUCAUACAUAUACUCAAAUUGUUGUUUUUCCGCUGCGAACACUGAUUACGAAAAGAUAUUAUGUCAUUUGUCAAACAAUAUGUAUUAUUUAACAAUGUACUUGAACUCAUUGAGUACCCUUUUGGAUAAUAUUAUGUACGGUCCCCUUGUGGCCUUUGUUAAUAUCUAGUUUUUGAAUGUUUCCCUUA